rnacentral:lncRNA from 1 species
ACGCCUUUAACCUGAUUAGCCCGAUGGGCUAGCCCGAAAACCGAAAGUUUAGGGUUAGGAUUGAAGAUUUACAACCCGAAAAAAUCUCCAACCCGAUUAGCCCGCACCCGAUUAACCCGGAACCCGAUAGGGCUAGCCCGAAAACCCGAUGGGCUGGCCCGAUUGACAUCCCUACUCACAGAGCUAUGGAACUUCUUCACAAAUUUCCAACAACGUUAUAACAUACACAAUUCUCUUUCCAUCUAAUCUCAGCUUACUUUCUUCACUCUCAAUUUGAAGAACAACUUUCGCACUCCCUUCAAAAUUUCUUGCAAAGUCGAAUACCAUCACAAACAUCAAUUUGCAGCAACCCACUCCCAACCAUAAUCUGGAGAAAUCAAUUUAUCUCACAAGAGGUAAACUAACAUCCACAUACACCCAGAUAACCAUUCCUCACAUCAGAGACAUAAUUUGAUUUGCAUAUCAUACACAUGCAUUUUCUGCAAAUUGCUAAUCAAAGCUUUUUAAAAGGAAUAAGCUAUCUUUUACAUGUAUAUGUUGGUGUGUGUACUGCUGUGUGCGUGAGUCUUAGAGGGGCUGUGUCGUCGUCCGAUUUGAGGGAGAACGGAGGAGGCAGAGGGGAUUGGCGACGGCGGCGGUGGCCUGAUGCUCCUGCUGCCCGUCGAUCCAGAGAGAGAGAGGGGGGUGGACGGCGGCUGGACGCGGGGCUGUUCGGCGGAGGGAGAGACGGCGGCCUCGGCCUUUGAGGUCGAUCGGUGGUAGCUGAUGGCUGCUGCCGUUCGUCUCUCAAGGAGAGGGGCGGGGCGCCGAUGAGUUGAAGAAUCAGAGGAGGAGGGAGGCGGCGAUGGCGGCGGUCCGGCUGACUGCUGCUGUCGGCUGGAGCAGAGGGGGGCCAAGUCCGGCGGUAACCUCGCCGGAAAUCGUAGGAGAAAGAGGGUUUAGGGAUUUAGAGAGAGUGAUUUGUGGAUUUGGGGGUUUGGCGAAUUGAGGGAGAAGGGAGAAAGAUUGAGAGAGAUGAGGGCGGCGGUGGUACGUCGGCGACGCGCCGGCGGAAUUGUAGGCGGCGGCAGCGUGAGAUGAGAGGAAGAGAGAGAGAGUGGCGAGUUCGAGAGAGAGAGAACGAUGAGAAGAGAGAGAGUGAGGAGAGACGCUUGUAUUUUUAAUUUUAGAUUUCUUUUAAGUUAAUUUUGGGCCUCUUCGGUUUUAUUUAUUUGGACUCUCUUUUAUUAACUGCAAUUGGCCGAUUUUUAUUUCAGAAGUGGACUGCUGUUUAAUAAAAGUUAUGGGCUCAGUUUUUAUAUUAUGCUUGGGCCUUAUUAAGUCAUUGUAGGNNNNNNNNNNNNNNNNNNNNNNNNNNNNNACGCAUUCAUACAUUCACAAAUUUUCAUUUGAAUAGAUUUUAUAACACAUGUAAUAUUUGUAUACAUAUUCUGUACAUACACACAUAUGUGUAUAAGCUAGUAUUGAAUGAUUCUACAUGUUGAGUAAAUGAAUAAAAAGGGGAGGGGAGGAAACUUGUCUUGAAGCUUCGAUUAUUACUCCUUGUUUCUGAGCUCGAAAUUACCCCUGGCUAUGUGUGUGAGUAGAGUCGAAAGGGAGGUGGUGGGGGUGGUUCGCCACUACUGGCGAGAGGGAGACAGAGGAGGUGGCGAUGGCGUCGGCCGCGGCUGCUGUUGUCGCCGACAGUCGCUGAUGGCGACGACUUCGCCGGAGGAAGGAGGCGGUGGAUGGGUAGGCGGGAGCUUAGGGCUUUUGACGAUUUUGGGGAUUUAGGAUUUGUGGAUUUGGGGGUUUGGGGGUUUGGCGAAUUGAGGGAGAAGGGAGAAAGAUAGAGAGGGAUGAGUACGGCGGUGGUACGCCGGCGACGCGCCGGCGGAAUUGUAGGCGGCGGCGGCGACGUCAGAUGAGAGGAAGGGAGAGAGAGUGGCUAGAAGGAGAGAGGGAGCCGAUGAGAGUGGUGAGA